rnacentral:rRNA from 1 species
CGGCGACGUGGGUGGUUCGCCGCCUGCGACGUCGCGAGAAUUCCACUGAACCUUAUCAUUUAGAGGAAGGAGAAGUCGUAACAAGGUUUCCGUAGGUGAACCUGCGGAAGGAUCAUUG